GACGAACGCUGGCGGCGUGCUUAACACAUGCCAGUCGAACGGAAAGGCCCUGCUUUUGUGGGGUGCUCGAGUGGCGAACGGGUGAGUAACACGUGAGUAACCUGCCCUUGACUUUGGGAUAACUUCAGGAAACUGGGGCUAAUACCGGAUAGGAGCUCCUGCUGCAUGGUGGGGGUUGGAAAGUUUCGGCGGUUGGGGAUGGACUCGCGGCUUAUCAGCUUGUUGGUGGGGGAGUGGCUUACCAAGGCUUUGACGGGUAGCCGGCCUGAGAGGGUGACCGGCCACAUUGGGACUGAGAUACGGCCCAGAGUCCUACGGGAGGCAGCAGUGGGGAAUAUUGCACAAUGGGCGGAAGCCUGAUGCAGCAACGCCGCGUGCGGGAUGACGGCCUUCGGGUUGUAAACCGCUUUCGCCUGUGACGAAGCGUGAGUGACGGUAAUGGGUAAAGAAGCACCGGCUAACUACGUG
rnacentral:rRNA from 1 species